AUCCAGCUGAUGAGUCCCACCUGGGACGAAACGUGCGUCAAACUGUAU
rfam:Schistosoma haematobium scaffold306_12, whole genome shotgun sequence.